UACAGAGGUCCCAAGCGUUGUUCGGAUUCACUGGGCGUAAAGGGUGCGCAGGUGGGUUGGCAAGUUCGAUGUGAAAGCCCCGGGCUUAACCCGGGAAUGGCAUUGGAUACUGCUGAUCUGGAGGAUCGGAGGGGGGACUGGAAUUCUUGGUGUAGCAGUGAAAUGCGUAGAUAUCAAGAGGAACACCAGUGGCGAAGGCGGGUCCCUGGACGAUACCUGACACUGAGGCACGAAAGCCAAGGGAGCAAACAGG
rnacentral:rRNA from 1 species